UACGGAGGGUGCGAGCGUUGUCCGGAAUCACUGGGCGUAAAGAGCGCGCAGGCGGUCAGAUAAGUCGAAUGUGAAAGCCCCCGGCUCAACUGGGGAGGGUCAUUCGAUACUGUUCGACUCGAAGGCAGGAGAGGGAAGCGGAAUUCCCGGUGUAGUGGUGAAAUGCGUAGAUAUCGGGAGGAACACCAGUGGCGAAGGCGGCUUCCUGGCCUGUUCUUGACGCUGAGGCGCGAAAGCUAGGGGAGCAAACGGG
rnacentral:rRNA from 1 species